GACGAACGCUGGCGGCGUGCCUAAUACAUGCAAGUCGAACGCUUCUUUCCUCCCGAGUGCUUGCACUCAAUUGGAAAGAGGAGUGGCGGACGGGUGAGUAACACGUGGGUAACCUACCCAUCAGAGGGGGAUAACACUUGGAAACAGGUGCUAAUACCGCAUAACAGUUUAUGCCGCAUGGCAUAAGAGUGAAAGGCGCUUUCGGGUGUCGUUGAUGGAUGGACCCGCGGUGCAUUAGCUAGUUGGUGAGGUAACGGCUCACCAAGGCCACGAUGCAUAGCCGAACUGAGAGGGUGAUCGGCCACACUGGGACUGAGACACGGCCCAGACUCCUACGGGAGGCAGCAGUAGGGAAUCUUCGGCAAUGGACGAAAGUCUGACCGAGCAACGCCGCGUGAGUGAAGAAGGUUUUCGGAUCGUAAAACUCUGUUGUUAGAGAAGAACAAGGACGUUAGUAACUGAACGUCCCCUGACGGUAUCUAACCAGAAAGCCACGGCUAACUACGUG
rnacentral:rRNA from 1 species